rnacentral:lncRNA from 1 species
UAAGUAUAUGCUGUUGUCAAUGGUAAUCAAAUCAGGUGUUGCGAAAGAACGGGGAAAGGGGAAACACCUGCUUUUGCUCCAAUAGAGAGGCUUGUAUCUAUGGAAUGGCAACAGAAAAAAGGUUAGUUCGAACUAAACACAUAACUGUGAAUCUUACUGGAAAUGAAUAACUUAAAACUCGAGGGAGUUUCUGUAUAUAGUUAUCAGAAACUAAAAGGAUUUUUUUUUUUGGUCAACUAAACUAAAAGGAUUUUCUGUGGUGAUUCUUGUGGAAGAGCCAUUAGGAAAUUAGAACAUGUAGGAAAUAUUACCCUUGUUUCUAGUAGGGUUUGGUGGAGUAGGGGUUUGUGGCUCUUCUAUAGAAUAGCAGACGAAUCUACUUGAGGUUUGACUAUAUCCACAAGCACCCUUAGAGUCUAUGCACGUCCGACAAUCUUGGUUAAGUUCAAGCUCGAAACCGUAUUCGAGAGCCUUCUUUAGAUUAUCGUUACUCGGAGUGCUCUGCAGUAUGUUAAGCGUCGAUCCAGAUGCGGGAAUACUGACGUUUCUAUCGCAAGAUUGACUGAAGUCGUAUAAAAGGUCAUUAAUCUCACUGAGUGGAGGAAACGAGAGGUUUCUCGUCACAUAGUAACUUCUAUCAUCAUCACUAUCAUCCCCACAAGCAAAGUCUCCAAAAUUAGUAACUUGCUGUGGAAAG